rnacentral:lncRNA from 10 species
GGCCUUUAUUGUCUGUUUUUUUGUACACAUGGCCAAUUUAAUUUUCAGCAUAGUAGAAAGAAAAUUUUUUCACAUUGCAAAGGGGAAAACAGCUUGUUAGAAUUGGAUGCAUGACUUUUAGAAACGGAAGUAGGUGCCUUGUUUAAAUGUAUUAUAAUGGAAUAUGGUAAUAGAUUAAUUAGUUCUGGAUUUUCCAGCAAAUUAUUUUGUACUCACCAUUCCUCCUACAGGUCCCAUAAAAUUUUAACAGAAGUUAAAACAUGUAGUGAUAACCUUUGCCUUCUGUGCCCGUGAUAAUCAUCUGCUCUCUCUCCUAUUGAUUACCUCACCAACCUGUCAACUUGGAUGCCUUGUGCAAAAGACAAACAUGCUAACAGCCAGCAAGCAGGCAGGAAGGUAGGGGAGAGGGGCUGUUAGCAGGAAGACUACCCCUGUCCCCAAGAAUCAAUUGAAUUCUUCUUAGUGCUGUUCUCGGGGUGUGUGGUUUGAGCUUGGAAUGAGUUACUUACAGUCUGCUCAGAAAUACAGAGUCAUAUGGAAAAGCGGAUGCACAUUGGAUGAACAAAGAUUUCCAAAGUAUUCUAUCUUGGAAUUACAAAAGAAUGGGGGAGGAAGGGGAUUGUGUCUUUGCAAAGCUAAAGGCCUACAGACAUUCACUACCAUACCUCCUCUUCCCAUCCCCUUAGCCAUUUCAGUGUUUCCAAAAAUAGUACAAAUACCCAAGAUUUGAGAGUCAGGCCCAUCUUAAUUUAGUCCCUGCCAUUUUAUGACCUGGUCCCGAGGGAUCCUCUGGGCCAAUGGCCCAAAUUCUCUCAGCCCGAGUUUCCUUGCAGUGGAACCGUGAGGUGAAGUGAGACAAUAUAUCAGAAGCAUUUGGUCUACGUAAAAUGUUCCUUUAGCAGCUUUAAAAUUAGCUGCCAUUUAAUGACAGCCCAUGUGUCCCAGACACUUUACAUGUACUAAUCCCAGAUAGUAUCCACAGAAACAAUUCUCAUCACCAUUUAUCAUACGGCACACUAAAGUUUAGAGAAACUGAAUAAUUUGGAAUUUGAACUCAAAUCUUUGGACUCUAAAGCCUAUGCUCUCUACUAGGUUAUACAUUACUUUUUCUUAUAAAGAAUUAGAGCCAGUCUGUUCAAGUCCUAUGCUCCCACACCAAAAUUGGGAGUGUCUAAAACAAAACAUUCAAAUUCAACAUUCUUUAAUGGGAAAAAAAAUCAAGAAAAGGCACACAUAAUACCAUAGUAUAUUCUGGCUGAAUUACAUUUGAAGACUUUGGCUUCAAAAGGGCCCUUCCACGGCACUGUUAGAAAGAUUAUGCUGUCUUUUUAUACCUAGCACCUUUACUGUCUUCAAUCAUGAAAUUAGAUACCAUUUAAUAGUUAAAGAUAUGAUAAUUUAAUAAUAAAAUUUGAGACUCCAAAAUUUAACCAGGAAAGCAAAUUGGAAUUCCAGAAAAGUAUACCAACUGUCAACAUUUCAGAAAUAUUCUCUUUGUCUUCUUAGUAAUAAUAAUCUUUAUAAAAUCAUUGUUCUAAUAUAGAAACAGGCAAUUUACUACUUCUACCAGAAAUACUCAUAUUGUUUUAGUAUCAGGUAUAUUCUACUCAUGUUUCUUAGAACUUCAGGAAAUUAUUCAAGAAGAGAGGCAUGGUGGUAUGCUGGAAAGUCUGCUGAGCUUGAAAGUAGGUAACCCAGGCUCCUGUUCCUGUUCUCAUUGAUGAGUUCCCUGACUUCAGGUGAGUCACAGCUUCUCUGGACUUUCAUGUCCUUUUGCAAAGUGAGUCUGAUCAUUUCUAGGAUCUUUUCCAGCCCUGAGAUUGUAUGAGCUGCAAUAGCUAAGAGAUAUGGGAAAGUGGGUCAUUGGAAAGUUGUUUUCCUAACUCCACAGGCAACAAUGUGCCUCAUUCUUAGUCAUCAAAGGCAAAUACGAAGGGAUGGGAAGCACUCUCUUCACUGUCCAUUUGCAAGCAGAAUCACUCUUCACUUGAUUGUCCAGUGUCUGUAUAGUCUCUCACAGAGCCCAGCACAUGUGGGCAUUCUGUAAAUGGCCAUUGAGAACUGCCAGGUCUGUGGCUGCUACAGAGCACAAUGAUGAUGAUAAUGGUGUUGAUGAUCAUGAUGAUGAUGGGCUGGUGUAUCGAGGCACAGACCCAAGGAAGGCUAAUGAGAAUGUUUCUAGGGAAGCUUCCUGCAUGUCACUCUUCUUCCUUCUACUUCCUCUAGGUUCAUCUUCCCUGACUAACAGGGAGCCAGGGCUAUAAUAACGGGAAGGAAGUCAUCAUGUGAUUCUACCUAGAAACGCAGGCAUCAACUUGAAAUGUUUUCUCUUUCUCUUGUAACUCUGGAAUAUGGCUCCUUGGAUUGGAGGUGGCAAAUACCACGGGUUAAACAAUGUCAUUCUGAGCUCUUUUAGUACUGAAUAAUGCAAUAUAUACCAUAUUCUACCCUCUUAAAGAAGGAGUGUAUCAGCUAUGUGCCUGAUAUGGUUUGGCUCUAUGUCCCCACCCAAAUCUCAUCUUGUAGCACCCAUAAUUCCCAGGUUUUGUGGGAGGGACCCGGUGGGAGAUGAUUGAAUCAUGGGGGCUGGUCUUUCCUGUGCUGGUCUUCUGAUAGUAAAUGGGUCUCACAAGAUCUGAUGGUUUUUGAAAACAGGAGUUUCUCUGCAUGAGCUCUCUCUGCCUGCUGCCAUCCACUUAAGAUGUGACUUGCUCGUCCAUCGCCUUCUGCCAUGAUUGUGAGGCCUCCCCAGCCACGUGGAACUUAGCUCAGGACAGCAACCAGACCUGAGAUUCUUUUCAACUUAUACGCUGUUGAUGGUAAGUGCAAAUGAAAACCUCAGCUUACAAACCAAAGGUUUUAGCCCUAAGCCCAAAUAUGUUAUAACAAAUAUCCAUUCAAGAAAGAGUCUCUAAAAAGGGAUUUUCUCCUCAAAAUGGGAAAAUAGGUUUUCGUAUCCAGACUCAUUCAAAACUGAUGGUUCUUAUACUAAAGCGGGAGGAUUUCAACUUGGAAUCUGGAGUUGCUAACAUGAUUUUGUUGUAUUUUUAAGAGGGCUUUUGAAGAAGCUCAUAGAGUUUCUUAGAUAUCAACAAUGUGGUUUAGAUACAGUUUUGGAAGAAGUCUGUGUAAAUUAAUCAAACCCCUGUGGAAUAAGUCUUUAAAAAAUACAUAUAAGAUUUAAUAACUGGUUUGAAGCAACUUAAAAUAUUAGGGAAAAGUCUGUGACCAUUCUUUCCCUGCUAUCUGUCCAACUUUGAGAAUUUAAAAUCACAUUUGAAAUGUAAUAAAAGCUCUUAAAAUUGGCUCAUAAUCUUGCCAAAAAAUUCUCUUUGCUGCUUUCUUUCCUUUUUUUUUUUUUUUUCUUUUAAGAUGGAAUUUCACUCUGUCACUCAGGCUGAAGUGAAGUGGCGCAAUCUCAGCUCACUGCAACCUCCGCCCCCAGGUUCAAGCAAUUCUCCUGUCUCAGCCUCCAGAGUAGCUGGGAUUAUUAGCAUCCACCACUAUGCCCGGCUAAUUUUUGUAUUUUUAGUAGAGACAGGGUUUCGCCAUGUUGGCUAGGCUGGUCUCGAACUCCUGAGCUCAGGUGAUCUACCUAACCAACUAGGCCUCCCAAAGUGCUAGGAUUACAGGCAAGAGCCAGUGAGCCUGGCUUUUGCUGCUGUUAGCCCUCCAUCAUCUUGAACAGAACUCCACUCAAUAAAUUAUCAUGACUAGGCACGGUGGUUCACACCAGUAAUCCCAGCACUUUGGUUGGCCAAGGCAGGGGAAGACUUGAGGCCAGGAGUUAGAGACCAGUCUGGCUAACAUGGCAAAAACAUGCCUCUACUAAAAAUACAAAAAGUAGCCAGGCAUGCUGGUGCACACCUGUGAUCCUAGCUACUUGGGAAGCUGAGGCACUAGAAUUGCUUGAACCUGAGAGUUGAAGGUUGCUGUGAUCCAAGAUGGCACCACUGCACUCCAGUCUGGGGGACAGAGCAAGACUGUGUCUCUAAUUAAUUAAUUAAUCAAGUCAAAUUUGUCACAGAAGUUGCUUUAUAUAAUGAGGGCUUUCAGGAAACCUACAGGGAGAUUUAUAGCUUCACAUUUGAAGCUGAUGUAUAUCAGGAAAAAGUGAUUAACAAGAUCCUCUCGAUCCUAUGUCAUACUAUAUACAAAAAUUAACUAACUCAAAAUGGAUAUUCAACUUAAAUAUAAGAGUAAAAACAAUAAAACUCUCAAAAGAGAACAUAGGAGUAAUCCUUCCUGACCUUGGAUUAGGUAAUGGUUUCUCAGAUAUGAUACAAAUAAGUGACAAAAGAAAAAAGUAGAUAAAUUGAACUUUGUGAAAAUUAAAAACUUUUGUGUUUCAAUGGACACAUUAGAAAGGUUAAAAGACAACGCACAGAAUGGGAGAAAAUAUUUGCAAAUGGUAUAACUAAUAAGAGACUUGUGUCCAGAAUAUAUAGAGAACUUAUACCAUGCAACAAUAAAAAGACAAUCCAAUUAAAAAAUGGACAAAGGAUUUGAAUAAACAUUUCUCCAGAGAAGAUAUACAAAUGGCCAAUAAGCACAUGAAAAAAUGUUCAAAAGCAUUAGUCCUUAAGGAAAUGCAAAUCAAUACCACAAUGAGAUACCACUCCACACCUUCUAGAACGUCUAAAAUAAAAAAGACAGAUAAUAACAAGUUUUGAUGAGGAUGCAGAGAAAUUGGAAACCUCAUACUGCUGGUGGGAAUGUGAAACGAUGCAGCCACGUUGGAAAGUAAGCUUGCAGUACCUGGAAAUGUUAAAACAUAGAGUUACAUGGCAUAGCAAUUCCAGUUCUAGGUAUAUAAACAAUAGAACCGAUGACAUAUGUUCACACAAAAACCUGCACAUGAAUGUUCAUGGCAGCAUUAUUCAUAAUAGUCCCAGAGUAAAAACAACCCAAAUGUUCAUGAAUUGAUGAAUGUAUAAACAAAAUGUGUUGUACCCUUACAAUGUAAUAUUAUUUAGCAAUAAAAAGUAGUGAAGUACCAAUA